UACGUAGGGGGCUAGCGUUGUCCGGAAUCAUUGGGCGUAAAGAGCGUGUAGGCGGCCCGGUAAGUCCGCUGUGAAAGUCGGGGGCUCAACCCUCGGAUGCCGGUGGAUACUGUCGGGCUCGAGUACGGAAGAGGCGAGUGGAAUUCCUGGUGUAGCGGUGAAAUGCGCAGAUAUCAGGAGGAACACCAGUGGCGAAGCGAUCAUCUGGGGUUGUUCUGGCACUGAGGAGCGAAAGC
rnacentral:rRNA from 1 species